AUUAAUAAGCGGAGGAAAAGAAAUCAACCGAGAUUCCCUCAGUAAGGGCGACUGAAAUGGGAAAAGCCCAGCGCAUAAUCUCGCGGUCCCUGGUGGCCGUCGAGAGGUGUUGCGUUUCAGUGGAUCCGUCCCGCCUGUGCUACUGACUACCUAAGUCAUUGCUUGAAAGCAGCCCCAAGGAGGGUGAUAGGCCCGUGUGGUAGCGCCUGUAAAAGGGUGUAGGUGGCAUGGGCGGAGGGAUCUCACUGUGGAGUCGGGUUGCUUAAUACUGCAGCCCUAAGUAGGUGGUAAACUCCAUCUAAGGCUAAAUACAACCACGAGUCCGAUAGCAGACAAGUACCGUGAGGGAAAGCUGAAAAGAACUUUGAAGAGAGAGUUCAAAAGGACGUGAAACCACUAGAAGCAUAAACGGGUGGACCCGCGACGGUCGAACGAGGGGAUUCAGCUCGCGGCCCGCUGGCCCGGAGAGGUGGCACAGUUUUACUGUGAGACGCGGCGUUCAAUGUGACACGCCGUGGCACCGCCUUUCCGUGUGGUCGGCUGGGCCGCGGGCUUAUUUCUCCCUCUAGUAGCGCGCCGCGACCCGCUGUUGAGGCCCCUAGGGCCCGCGUGGACUGGUAGCCAGGACCCUCGGGUUCUGGUGAGGACUGCGUGGGUUCCGACCGGGCCUCGGCGGCGGUCACUGCCAGGAGGUCUAGACGCCUGUAACAGGGCUGUCGUGACCUCUCGCGGCGUAUGUCUGAGUCGGUCAUCCACCCGA
rnacentral:rRNA from 1 species